UUCCGGUUGAUCCUGCCGGACCUGACUGCUAUCGGAUUGAUACUAAGCCAUGCGAGUCAUUGUAGCAAUACAAGGCAGACGGCUCAGUAACGCGUAGUCAAUCUACCCUAUGGACGGGAAUAAUCUCGGGAAACUGAGAAUAAUACCCGAUAGAACAUUAUGCCUGGAAUGGUUUAUGUUUUAAAUGAUUUAUCGCCGUAGGAUGGGACUGCGGCCUAUCAGCUUGUUGGUGAGGUAAUGGCCCACCAAGGCUAUUACAGGUACGGGCUCUGAGAGGAGAAGCCCGGAGAUGGGUACUGAGACACGGACCCAGGCCCUAUGGGGCGCAGCAGGCGCGAAAACUCCGCAAUACGCGCAAGCGUGACGGGGGAACCCCAAGUGCCUCUUUUUGGUGAGGCUUUUUCAGAGUGUAAACAGCUCUGAGAAUAAAAGCGGGGUAAGACCGGUGCCAGCCGCCGCGGUAACACCGGCCGCUCAAGUGGUGACCGCUAUUAUUGGGCCUAGAGCGUCCGUAGCCGGCUCUGCAAGUUUCUGGUGAAAUCUGGCAGCUAACUGUCAGGCAUGCUGGAAAUACUACAGAGCUUGAGAACGGGAUAGGAUGGAGGUAUUCCACGGGUAGGGGUUAAAUCCUUUAAUCCGUGGAGGACCACCGGUGGCGAAGGCGUCCAUCUGGAACGUGUCUGACGGUGAGGGACGAAAGCGUGGGGAGCAAACUGGAUUAGAUACCCGGGUAGUCCCAGCUGUAAACGAUGCAGACUCGGUGAUGCACUGGCUUGUGGCCAGUGCAGUGCCGCAGGGAAGCCGUUAAGUUUGCCGCCUGGGAAGUACGUACGCAAGUAUGAAACUUAAAGGAAUUGGCGGGGGAGCACCACAAGGGGUGAAGCCUGCGGUUCAAUUGGAUUCAACGCCGGA
rnacentral:rRNA from 1 species